rnacentral:rRNA from 1 species
CCUACGGGUGGCAGCAGUGAGGAAUAUUGGUCAAUGGGCGCAAGCCUGAACCAGCCAAGUCGCGUGAGGGAUGACGGUCCUAUGGAUUGUAAACCUCUUUUGUCGGGGAGCAAGUCCCGCCACGUGUGGCGGGAAGGAGAGUACCCGAAGAAAAAGCAUCGGCUAACUCCGUGCCAGCAGCCGCGGUAAUACGGAGGAUGCGAGCGUUAUCGGGAUUUAUUGGGUUUAAAGGGUGCGUAGGUGGAAGGUUAAGUCAGCGUUAAAAUGUGGGUGCGAAACACCGGACUGCAGUUGAAACUGGUAUUCUUGAGUGAGCGAGAGGUAUGCGGAAUGCGUGGUGUAGCGGUGAAAUGCAUAGAUAUCACGCAGAACUCCGAUUGCGAAGGCAGCAUACCGGCGCUCAACUGACGCUGAGGCACGAAAGCGUGGGGAUCGAACAGGAUUAGAUACCCGUGUAGUC